rnacentral:tRNA from 1 species
GCUUGGAUGGCUCAGCUGGUUAGAGCGCAGGUCUCAUAAUCCUGAGGUCGUGAGUUCGAUCCUCACUCCGAGCA